UACGAAGGGUGCAAGCGUUAAUCGGAAUUACUGGGCGUAAAGGGUGCGUAGGCGGUUGUUUAAGUCUGUCGUGAAAGCCCGGGGCUCAACCCCGGAAUUGCCCUUGAAACUGGAAGGCUAGAAUCACGGAGAGGUGGGUGGAAUUCCGAGUGUAGAGGUGAAAUUCGUAGAUAUUCGGAAGAACACCAGUGGCGAAGGCGGCCCACUGGACGUGUAUUGACGCUGAGGUGCGAAAGCGUGGGGAGCAAACAGG
rnacentral:rRNA from 1 species